rnacentral:rRNA from 1 species
GACGAGUGGCGGACGGGUGAGUAAUGUCUGGGAAACUGCCUGAUGGAGGGGGAUAACUACUGGAAACGGUAGCUAAUACCGCAUAACGUCGCAAGACCAAAGAGGGGGACCUUCGGGCCUCUUGCCAUCGGAUGUGCCCAGAUGGGAUUAGCUAGUAGGUGGGGUAACGGCUCACCUAGGCGACGAUCCCUAGCUGGUCUGAGAGGAUGACCAGCCACACUGGAACUGAGACACGGUCCAGACUCCUACGGGAGGCAGCAGUGGGGAAUAUUGCACAAUGGGCGCAAGCCUGAUGCAGCCAUGCCGCGUGUAUGAAGAAGGCCUUCGGGUUGUAAAGUACUUUCAGCGGGGAGGAAGGGAGUAAAGUUAAUACCUUUGCUCAUUGACGUUACCCGCAGAAGAAGCACCGGCUAACUCCGUGCCAGCAGCCGCGGUAAUACGGAGGGUGCAAGCGUUAAUCGGAAUUACUGGGCGUAAAGCGCACGCAGGCGGUUUGUUAAGUCAGA